GUCCAAGCUACCAAGGGUCAUCGGUGGAUGCCUUGGCGCCAGGAGCCGACGAAGGACGUGGCAGGCUGCGAAAAGCCCCGGCGAGCUGUCAAGCAAGCUCCGACCCGGGGAUGUCCGAAUGGGGAAACCUGGCUGGGGUCAUGCCCAGUCACUCCGGUCUGAACACAUAGGACCGGCAGAGGGAACCGGUGGAACUGAAACAUCUAAGUACUCCGAGGAAGAGAAAGCAAUAGCGAAUCCCUGAGUAGCGGCGAGCGAAACGGGACCAGCCCAAACCUCCGCAGUGUAUAAAGCCCGACGGCGUUGCUGCGGGGGGGUUGCGGGACCCGCUGGAUGGUGCGUCGGCACUGUCACAGAGUUACAAAGGCGACGAUCAGCCGAACCCGGAUGGAAAGCCGGGCCGCAGACGGUAACAGCCCCGUAGGCGAAGGUCGUCGCUCUCUGAGCGGUGUUCCCAAGUAUCACGGAGGAUAUUCCGUGUGAAUCCGCGAGGACCACCUCGUAAGGCUAAACACUUCCUGGCGACCGAUAGUGAACUAGUACCGUGAGGGAAAGGUGAAAAGCACCCCGGUGAGGGGAGUGAAAUAGUACCUGAAACCGUUGACCUACAAGCAGUGGGAGGAGUUCUUUUAGAACUCUGACCGCCUGCCUUUUGAAGAAUGAGCCGGCGAGUUAGUGGUAUGUGGCAAGGUUAAGGUAGUUGUACCGGAGCCGAAGCGAAAGCGAGUCUGAACAGGGCGCCACAGUCGCAUGCCCUAGACCCGAAUCCGGGCGAGCUAUCCAUGGGCAGGGUGAAGCGAAGGUAAGACUUCGUGGAGGCCCGAACCCACCAAGGUUGAAAACUUGGGGGAUGACCUGUGGAUAGGGGUGAAAGGCCAAUCAAGCCCGGUGAUAGCUGGUUCUCCCCGAAAUAGCUUUAGGGCUAGCGUUACGCGUUUCGCAAUGGGGGUAGAGCACUGAUUGAACUAGGGGGCCCACAAGCCUACCAACUUCAGUCAAACUCCGAAUCUCAUUGCGUGAGAGCGUGGCAGUCAGUCUACGGGGGAUGAGCUUCGUGGACGCGAGGGAAACAGCCCAGAUCGCCAGCUAAGGUCCCUAAGUCUGAGCUAAGUGGGAAACGAUGUGGAGUUGCACAAACAGCCAGGAGGUUGGCUUAGAAGCAGCCAUCCUUUAAAGAAUGCGUAAUAGCUCACUGGUCGAGUGGCGCUGCGCGGAAAAUGUAACGGGGCUAAAGCUCAGCACCGAAGCUGCGAGAUUCCGCCCGUAUGGGCGGGAUCGGUAGGGGAGCGUCGUGUCGACAGAGAAGCGUCGCCGUGAGGAGACGUGGAGACGGCACGAGUGAGAAUGCCGGUAUGAGUAGCGAAUGGAGAGUGAGAAUCUCUUCCGCCGAAUGUCCAAGGGUUCCUGGGGAAGGUUCGUCCGCCCAGGGUUAGUCGGGACCUAAGGCGAGGCCGCAAGGCGUAGUCGAUGGACAACGGGUUGAUAUUCCCGUACCGCUCUGUGCGCGCCCGACCAAGACCGGUCUUGCUAAGACUGCAUCUUCGGAUACGGUCGACCCAGACCGGAGGAGGUCAGCAAUGGGGUGACGUGGAAGGGUAAGCGGACCCGGGCGAUGGUUGUUCCCGGGGUAAACGUGUAGGGUGUGGCCCAGGUAAAUCCGGGCCACGAAAAAGCCCGAGGCGUGAUGCCGAUCCGCCUUUAGGAGAAGCCGCUGAACGCCCAUGCCACCGAGAAAAACCUCUAGUGAGUGCACAGUGCGCCCGUACCCCAAACCGACACAGGUGGACAGGUAGAGAAUACCAAGGCGAGCGAGUUAACCCUGGUUAAGGAAUUCGGCAAAUUGGCUCCGUAACUUCGGGAGAAGGAGCGCCCCGGUAAAGUGUAGGAGUUCGCCUCCGAAGCUUGAGGGGGCCGCAGUGACCAGGCCCAAACGACUGCUUACUAAAAGCACAGCAGCGUGCUAAGUCGUAAGACGACGUAUACGCUGUGACGCCUGCCCGGUGCCGGAAGGUUAAGAGGAGGUGUUAGCCCUCGGGCGAAGCUCUGAAUUGAAGCCCCGGUAAACGGCGGCCGUAACUAUAACGGUCCUAAGGUAGCGAAAUUCCUUGUCGGGUAAGUUCCGACCUGCACGAAUGGCGCAACGAUUUGGGCACUGUCUCAACCAGGGACUCGGCGAAAUUGCAAUGUGAGUAAAGAUGCUCACUACCUGCGGCAGGACGGUAAGACCCCGGAACCUUUACUGUAGCUUGGCAUUGAAGUCUGGCGUGUAAUGUGCAGGAUAGGUGGGAGACGAGGAAGCAGAGGCGCCAGCCUCUGUGGAGUCAACCUUGGAAUACCACCCUUUGUACGACGGGCUUCUAACCCGGGUCCGUAAUCCGGAUCGGGAACAGUGUCUGGCGGUCAGUUUCACUGGGGCGGUGGCCUCCUAAAGAGUAACGGAGGCGCCCAAAGGUUCCCUCAGUCUGGUCGGCAAUCAGACGACGAGUGUAAAGGCACAAGGGAGCUUGACUGUGAGACCUACAAGUCAAACAGGGACGAAAGUCGGGCUUAGUGAUCCCAUGGUGGCAUGUGGGUGCGCCAUGGCUCAUCGGCUAAAAGGUACUCCGGGGAUAACAGGCUAAUCACGCCCAAGAGUCCAUAUCGACGGCGUGGUUUGGCACCUCGAUGUCGGCUCGUCGCAUCCUGGGGCUGGAGCAGGUCCCAAGGGUCGGGCUGUUCGCCCGUUAAAGCGGCACGCGAGCUGGGUUUAGAACGUCGUGAGACAGUUCGGUCCCUAUCCGCCGCAGGCGCAGGAGACUUGAGGGGAGCUGUCCCUAGUACGAGAGGACCGGGAUGGACGUACCUCUGGUGUGCCAGUUGUUCUGCCAAGAGCACGGCUGGUUAGCUACGUACGGAAGGGAUAAGCGCUGAAGGCAUCUAAGUGCGAAGCCCACCCCAAGAUGAGGUCUCCCACGGGUUUUAACCCGGUAAGGCCCCUGGCAGAACACCAGGUUGAUAGGCCGGAGGUGUAAGCGCAGCAAUGCGUUCAGCUGACCGGUACUAAUAGGCCGAGGGCUUGGACAG
rnacentral:rRNA from 1 species